CGACCAUCCAGAGCGGCCGAGAGACCUGGUUCGAUGACGCCGCAGCAACCCGGUGCGCGGGUGCUUCAGCCAGGAUCGAUGGAGA
rfam:Actinomyces johnsonii F0510 genomic scaffold Scaffold416, whole genome shotgun sequence.